UAUAUCACCGGUGGCAGACGGAUUCACGCGGAAUUUUAAGAUCGAGCACGAACUGUAUGCGCCGACUGCCGUUGUAGCUAAGAUAAGCGGCGUCGUUUUAACUAUGGUCGUCACUACUGCAAGCCUAGCAGUGGGCCCAAAGGAUGCUUGUUUAAAUAACCUUACCUUCUUCGAUAUCGCUCGCUGCUGAGCCUUCUUCGGCGCGUCACCAGCGAAUGACUGAACUUAUCACGACUGCCAUAGUUGUCAACUUCUUGGUUCCCUUGGUGUCGACGGCGUGCCCCUCUCAAGCUGUCGUCAGUGACACUACCGUGGCCAAACUUCUCGAGAUUUUCCGGAAUCAAGAUGGACAUCGCAUCGAUCUACAAGGGGUUUCGGGCCAUGUCCGCCACUAUGUGUACGAUGACGUCGCAGCGUCGAAAUUCAAAGUGUCACGACUGAUCAGCCAUCCUCAGUUUCGGCGCUACUGCCUUGCUGGUAGAGAUGACAUCGUGGAAGUCGACUGCACUUUUUCUGCCAAAGUAUCGGCACUAUGGUGGCGACGAGGCAACAGUGGUUCAUUCGAUGCCCACAUCCAAGGCGUCGGAAUGGUGGUUCACUACGUCAUUGGCCACAGCGAAAGCGAUGGAAGCGCGUGGCUGUGCACUAACAAUGUCGACGUCAGUGGCGUGGGACGUCCCAAUGUUACAAUAAGAGUAUAUGACGGAAACCUCGACGUGUCAACGAUAGAAGCAUCUCGCAAAAUGCUGGAAAUGGAGGAACCGCGCCUUAUCAGAAAAAUCAAGGCAGUCCUUAGACGCAAAGUUCUUGCCUGUGGUGGCGAUAUGCCGUGGCACGAGCAAAAUUUGCAGGAAAAAUACGUCGUGCGCCGGAUUGCUCUUCAACAGCGCUUUGUUUAGUUCGGCUGUUGAACCCGCUGUCAUUCUAGAAACGCAGUUGUGGUAGGUUUCAUAACUAAAGACAUUCGGUGAAGUUCCUCUCUAAACAAGAGGAAGGUUUACAGAUCUCUCGUGCGAAAAACUUUCGAACAGAGUUCGCAAGUAAGGACCCUUAGGUCCACUGACUCACCGUUUAGGCACUCCAGCCAAAGCUUACGAGGGCGUCUGUGGCUGAUGGCAUUUUAGUGUAACCAGCGACAGCAAGUUCCGAGAUCCGAGCAGAGGGAAAAUACAGUACUGCAAUUUUGAUUUAUCAAUUUAUCCGCUUGCCCGAAGAUACUUAUUUCACAUUUAUGGCAUACUAGAGCCUUUCAUGACUUUGAGUUUUGCAUUGCAUAGAAUUUUAACUUCACUACUAAGUUGCUCUAAUCACAGUAUCACGACCCUCUGAACUCGGCUGAAGAGCGCCGAGAAUGCUGUGGUUUUGUUGGAUGAACCUGCUUGUGCACGCGGUCCAGAAAUCGAAUGGUGUGCCGAGGCGUCUAGGGAGGCGACCUGGUCGGGCGCCUGCGGGCAUCUUAAAGAGUUAAUAUAAGCCUAGCAUGGGCGUGGCUCGUCGCAACCUCCUGCAUCUGCUCACGUGUACCUGGAAGUGGGGAGCAAGCUGGGGAAGUAUGGUGAUGCACUGGGGUUCCAUCGCAGCUAAGCGACCUCAAUAAAAAGAGAAGAGGCAUGCAGA